rnacentral:rRNA from 1 species
UACGGGGGGGGCAAGCGUUGUUCGGAAUUACUGGGCGUAAAGGGCUUGUAGGUGGCCAACUAAGUCAGACGUGAAAUCCCUCGGCUUAACCGGGGAACUGCGUCUGGUACUGGAUGGCUGGAGUGUGGGAGAGGGAUGCGGAAUUCCAGGUGUAGCGGUGAAAUGCGUAGAUAUCUGGAGGAACACCGGUGGCGAAGGCGGCAUCCUGGACCAUUACUGACACUGAAAAGCGAAAGCCAGGGGAGCAAACGGG